rnacentral:rRNA from 1 species
GCCCCGCGCUGCCGGUUCACCGCUCGUCGGUGUCCAACUGGCAUGCGUGCGGGGCGUCCUGCCGGUGGGCGCGAGCCGACCGCGGCGGCAGGCGCUCUCGGGCCGGGCUCCGGCGGUGAGCAAUCGCAGCCGGGCCUGGUUCUCGGGGGCGUUGCGGCCCCGUGGAAGGCGGACCCCGAUCUCACCCGCCGCGGUGCUCUUAACUGAGUGUCGUGCGGGCCGGCACGUUUACUUUGAACAAAUUAACGUGCUUAACGCAGGCCUUUGUCUGCCCGAAUACUCUUGCAUGGAAUAAUGGAAUAGGACCUCGGUUCUAUUUUGUUGGUUUUCGGAAGUCGAGGUAAUGAUUAAUGGGGAUUGCCGGGGGCAUCCGUAUUGCGACGUUAGAGGUGAAAUUCUUGGAUCGUCGCAAGACGAACCGGAGCGAAAGCGUUUGCCAAGUAUGUUUUCUUUAAUCAAGAACGAAAGUUAGAGGUUCGAAGGCGAUCAGAUACCGCCCUAGUUCUAACCAUAAACUAUGCCAACUAGCGAUCCGCUGUGUGUCUUAGAUGUCACGGCGGGCAGCCUCCGGGAAACCAAAGUCUUUGGGUUCCGGGGGAAGUAUGGUUGCAAAGCUGAAACUUAAAGGAAUUGACGGAAGGGCACCACCAGACGUGGAGCCUGCGGCUUAAUUUGACCCAACGCGGGGAACCUCAUCAGGCCAGGACACCGGAAGGAUUGACAGAUUGAGAGCUCUUUCUUGAUUCGGUGGGUGGUGGUGCAUGGCCGUUCUUAGUUCGUGGAGUGAUUUGUCUGCUUAAUUGCGAUAACGAACGAGAUCCUACCCUACUAACUAGUCGAAACCGGCAUCCCCUGUGCAGCCGGCGACCAACACUCUUCUUAGAGGGACAGGCGGCUUCCAGCCGCAGGAAGUGGGGCAAUAACAGGUCUGUAAUGCCCUUAGAUGUUCUGGGCAGCACGCGCGCUACACUGAAGGUAUCAACGUGUGUUUUCCUUGCUCGAGAGGGCCGGGUAACCCGUUGAAACUCCUUCGUGCUAGGGAUUGGGGCUUGCAAUUCUUCCCCACCAACGAGGAAUGCCUAGUAAGCGGGAAUCAUUACUUCCCGCUGAUUAAGUCCCUGCCCUUUGUACACACCGCCCGUCGCUACUACCGAUUGAAUAUUUUAGUGAGGUCUUCGGACCAGCCCGCGGACCCUUCCCAGGGGCCGUAGAGCCGGAAAGAUGACCGAACUUGAAUAUUUAGAGGAAGUAAAAGUCGUAACAAGGUUUCCGUAGGUGAACCUUCGGAAG